GGUGGAUGCCACACACACGCUGUAAUAUUUGGAGAAAUAAGACCCGCUCUUGACUGUCCGUGGUGGCAAAUCCACAGCCUUUCGCUGGAGUAGAAUCAACCGUAUCUGAAGAGAGAGCUGAGGAAAUUAAACAAUGGCUGGGAAACAACACACAGCCCAUCAGCCAGGUGGAACAGUACAUCUAAAAAAUAUGUUUGAGGUCCUCCAUGAGUUUCCUCAGCUAACUAGCUAACUCAGGCAUGGUAUGUUAACAUAAUGUCUUUGUCAUAUGGUAACAUGAGUUAUAUUAAGUCUUUUUUGAGAAGUUUUUUUUUGUAAUUUUUGCUUUUAGAUUGCACAGGACUUUCACAUUUUACAUCAAGAUGAAGCC